rnacentral:rRNA from 1 species
AGAGUUUGAUCAUGGCUCAGAAUAAACGUUGGCGGUGCGCCUUAUGCAUGCAAGUCGAACGGUCGAGUAUGUAACUUGUUAUGUGCUCGGUAGUGGCGAACGGCUGGGUAACACGUAAGUAACCUGCCUUUGAGUGGGAAAUAACCUGUCGAAAGGCAAGCUAAUGUCCCAUAUGGUAACCGGGCAAAAGCCUGGUUAUCAAAGCCUUCGGGUGCUCGAAGAGGGGCUUGCGUCUGAUUAGCUAGUUGGUGGGGUAACGGCCUAUCAAGGCGAUGAUCGGUAGCUGGUCUGAGAGGAUGGUCAGCCAGAUGGGGACUGCGACACGGCCCCAACUCCUACGGGAGGCAGCAGCAAGGAAUUUUGGGCAAUGAGCGAAAGCUUGACCCAGCGACACCGCGUGAGGGAGGAAGGCCUUCGGGUUGUAAACCUCUCUUCUUGGGGAAGAAUUCUGACGGUACCCAAGGAAUAAGCCUCGGCCAACUACGUGCCAGCAGCCGCGGUAAUACGUAGGAGGCGAACGUUAUUCGGAUUUACUGGGCGUAAAGAGAGCGUAGGCGGUUCCUUAAGUCGGGUGUGAAAUAUUCUGACUCAAUCAGAAGGCGUCAUACGAUACUGUGGGACUUGAGAGCAGCAGAGGGAAAUGGAAUCCCCAGUGUAGCGGUGAAAUGCGUAGAUAUUGGGGAGAACACCAGUGGCGAAGGCGAUCUUCCAGGCUGUUUCUGACGCUGAGGCUCGAAAGCGUGGGUAGCAAAGCGGUUUAGAUAUCCGCGUAGUCCACGCCGUAAACGGUGGACACUAGGUAUAGGAGGUAUCGACCCUUUCUGUGUCGAAGCUAACGCUUUAAGUGUCCCGCCUGGGGAGUACGGCCGCAAGGCUAAAACUCAAAUGAAUUGACGG